AAGGAAAUGAUGCUACAGCAUGUGUAAAGCAAAAAAAAGUAAAAAGCAAGGAGCUCAAGUGAGGCUGGUGAGGAGCAGGUGAGCUCUACAGCACCCAAAUUAGGGGCAGGUAGAUGUCUUCCCCCCCUCUCUGUGCUUGGGGACAUCAAGGCUUCCUCUCUCUGUCCCCGUGCUGCAUGAGGAAAAAGUAGGAAUAACCAGGGAGAAGCCACCAGUGCUUUUUGUCACGGACACCAGCACAGCACCCUCCACUGCACGCAGGGAGACGAUGGAAGGAGGAACUGAGAACCAAACCCAAGCAACACCUGAGCCAACUCCAGGAUCCUCAUGAGCAGUAGCAGACUGCAUCAGAAGGUAAUUUUAUCCUCAGUGUUUGGUACAGCUACAACACAUCUCACAGAAGAAAUCCAGUAUCGUCUCUGAUCAUCUUUAAACUCUGAGGGACUGAGUCAUAUCCUGGUCUGGAAGGAGGAGUGGCUUGUGAAUGACACGACAGGAGAAAAUCACUUUAUUGGAAGGAGAAGAGCAGCUCGUCUGUCUUGAGUUAAGCCAUCACUGUAGUGAUCUGGAAUGGUAAAUACAGGAACACUCCCUGGAUAUAAUUGUGAGAUUAAUUUGUUGCCAGAACUGCAGACACAAAGCCACUGGAAACACGGGGAAGAUCAGCCCAGAUAUCUUCAUGAAUCUGUGCAGGUGUUUGCAUGUGGGUGUGUGUGUGUGCACUUCGUUUUCUAACAUGGAUCUUCGAAGUAGUCACCAAUUUACUUUAAGGAUGCUAAAAAUCACAAGAGAGUUAAGAAAGAGCGAGAAAGAGCAGCUGGUUAUGUCCCCACAUUGGCAGGACACCUUUCUGCUGUAGGUUUGUAGUCUCCUCCAUAUAAGUAUCCAGGAUGGAGAAGGGCACCAAGUUCUGGCACUGCCUGGCCACGCCUCUCACCAAAGUAUCCCACCUUCCAGGGGCUCCAGGAGGCUCUGCUCCACUCCCAGGACCAGU